rnacentral:rRNA from 1 species
CCUACGGGUGGCAGCAGUGAGGAAUAUUGGUCAAUGGACGAGAGUCUGAACCAGCCAAGUAGCGUGAAGGAUGACUGCCCUAUGGGUUGUAAACUUCUUUUAUAUGGGAAUAAAAUGUUCCACGUGUGCGUUUUUGUAUGUACCAUAUGAAUAAGGAUCGGCUAACUCCGUGCCAGCAGCCGCGGUAAUACGGAGGGUCCGAGCGUUAUCCGGAAUUAUUGGGUUUAAAGGGAGCGUAGGUGGGUUGUUAAGUCAGUUGUGAAAGUUUGCGGCUCAACCGUAAAAUUGCAGUUGAAACUGGCAGUCUUGAGUACAGUAGAGGUAGGCGGAAUUCGUGGUGUAGCGGUGAAAUGCUUAGAUAUCACGAAGAACUCCGAUUGCGAAGGCAGCUCACUGGACUGCAACUGACACUGAGGCUCGAAAGUGUGGGUAUCAAACAGGAUUAGAUACCCCUGUAGUC